UGAAUAAGUCAUGGUUUCGAAUUGGUUAUAUGUCCACGACAGCAAAUUUACUGAUUUUUGCGAAAUUUUGUCGUAUUGCGUUUAGUCCUCUUUACUCUACUCCUCACUAAACACUACUUAAAAUGCUAAUGAUCUUAUGAGGUCAUGAAGGAUAUUCAACCUUUCAUUUAUUUAAUAACACAACUACUUUUAAUGUCGUUACAUACAUAAUCACCUGCAAUUAUGUUUCAAAAGCCUAUGGUGAAAACACUCAAACCAGCUUUCUCUCGAAAAAUUAACGAGAUUAUACUUCUUAAAACAGUUAAUAUGUCUAAAUUCGAGAAUGGAAUGGCGAAUGUGUCAAAGAGACAACAACCCGACCAAAGUGUAGAAAACAGCACAAGGCCACCAAUGGGUCUUCAAUACAGCGAGAAAAUCCCUCAACCGGAG
rnacentral:lncRNA from 1 species